CCUACGGGAGGCAGCAGUGAGGAAUAUUGGUCAAUGGCCGGAAGGCUGAACCAGCCAAGCCGCGUGAAGGACGAAGGUGCCAAGCAUUGUAAACUUCUUUUGUCAAGGGACAAACUCAGGCUCGAGAGCCUGACCGAGGGUACUCGAAGAAAAAGCAUCGGCUCACUCCGUGCCAGCAGCCGCGGUAAUACGGAGGAUGCGAGCGUUAUCCGGAUUUAUUGGGUUUAAAGGGUGCGUAGGCGGGCUGUUAAGUCAGCGGUAAAAGUCCGGGGCUAAACCCCGGCGAGCCGCUGAAACUGGGUGUCUUGAGAUGGCGAGAGGUAUGCGGAAUGCGUAGUGUAGCGGUGAAAUGCGUAGAUAUUGCGAAGAACUCCGAGUGCGAAGGCAGCAUACCGGCGGGGAACUGACGCUGAGGCACGAAAGCGUGGGGAUCGAACAGGAUUAGAUACCCUGGUAGUC
rnacentral:rRNA from 1 species